UACGUAGGGUCCGAGCGUUGUCCGGAAUUAUUGGGCGUAAAGGGCUCGUAGGCGGUCCGUCGCGUCGGGAGUGAAAACUCGGAGCUUAACUCCGAGCCUGCUUCCGAUACGGGCAGACUAGAGUCCGGUAGGGGAGCGUGGAAUUCCUGGUGUAGCGGUGAAAUGCGCAGAUAUCAGGAGGAACACCGGUGGCGAAGGCGGCUCUCUGGGCCUUACCUGACGCUGAGGAGCGAAAGCAUGGGGAGCAAACAGG
rnacentral:rRNA from 1 species